AUUAAGGAGUGGGUGUGACUAUGUUUUAAGGGCAGGGCCAUAGUAUAAAGGAGCAGCUCUGUAGUAGGAGUGCAUGGCUUGGGCUCAAGGCUGUGGUCAGAGUAGGCGGGUCAGCUCAUGUUCGAGGGGCGUGGCUCUGGAUGCGGGGCGUGGCCAGGACUUGCAAGCUGACUCGAGGAGAUCCUUAGUUCCAGAGUCACAACUGUCCGCACCUGACAAUUCUUGGGGACCUGGAGACCGUUGACCAGGCUGAAGGCUGACACAGGGCACCUCGGAAGGCCCUGUCCCAGGGUCAUGUGGCCACCACUGGUGCUGCUGUUUCUGCUGCUUCCUGCUGCCCAUGGCGCCCCCCACCCAGCUGCCGACCUCCAGGAAAACUUUCCAAGUGUACUCGAAGAAAUUCAAACUGAAGGAGACAGAGGCAUGUGGAGGGAAGACAACCUGUUUGCUGGCUCCCGCUGUCCUCCUGGCUCAUAAGGUGGCUUCUAUGUGGUCCAGAAGCUGGGGCUGAGGACCUGUAGGCUCAUGAGGGCCUGCCAGGCACAGGAUCGGGAGUUUCCCACUUCCUCCUUCCGGUCUCCUCCAGGGCCCUUCAGCUGCUGAAGGGGCUGGGGGUGGACACCAGUAUCCUAGCAGGGGACAUAUAUGAAACUCACCAGACCUACCUGAAGCACCAUUUCAAAAUAAAAGGAUUUUUUUUUCAAGCUUAUUGUGCACUUUUCCUUUUGAGAUCAGUCCCCAGCUUCCAGCCAACCAGCUCCACCCAGCUUUGGACCUGACAUCCCCCUGCCUCAGACACUGACCUCUGCAGGCUCACUUGUGCAUUUGUGUCUGCCAUUUCUGACCACCGCAGCUAGUGAUCGGUCCU
rnacentral:lncRNA from 14 species